CUCUGUCUUGAGGCAAUAUAGAGAACCACAGUUGAUCCUUAUUAAACCAAGCGUUGCAACCGACCUCAUACUUUUCCAGAAAUCUCUCUCAAACAAAAUCGAAAUCCAAUCUGAUAAUCCACCGACAUCAGCGAUUAAAUAUGAUUCAUCCUUUUCGGGCAGCCUCUAUCCAAAUCGAGCUUCAUAUUCAACCGACCUCGGCGGGGGAAUUGAAAUCAAGAACAGUAAGAAUUGGGUAAACCUCUAUGGGUAUUAAUUAAUCUAUUACAGCACAGUGUUGAAUUUCAGUCUUUUUUUGAUAUUAGGAUUUAGUCCAAGUUCUAUUCUAAAUAUACGAAAGCUAAACUACACUUUACUGUUCAUUUUAGAAAAGACAACUUCUGAUUCUAAUCACUGUUGAGGUACUUCAUCGGGUCUCCUUUUCUCAGGUUGUCGUCUAUAGCUUUUGAUUAUAAUCACUGUUGAGAGAGGGCUGCAAGGUUUGACCUUUUGAUUUUUUUUUUCUCAAGAAUUUAUAUCAAGUAAGAAGGCAUUACUUUUAGAGUUCUUUCAGAAGGUUUUUUCUGCUUUAAUGAUGUAAAGCAAACUGACAUAGCAGAUUUCUGUGUGUGUUGCAUUUGUAACAUCUGUCAGAUUUUGAUAUUCGUUGUUUUCGAUUUGUGGUUUAAUUGAUAAGUUCUUUUCACGUGUUCAGAAUUGUCGUGUAUCAAUUUGCCAACAACAGUUUCAGAUUGGAUUGAAGCUUGCAUAAACUUAGACCUCCAUCACUCAUUGUCGAGCUUCAUCCAGGUUCUCUAGCUUGACGUCAAAUGCAUCUGUAUGCUGAGAGUUGGAAUGUUUCUGCAAGGUCUGAUGGCUGAAUUUGUUGGUUGUUAGAAAUCAGAACAAGCUUCAGAUCUGAAUGUUGGUGACCCAUCUAUUGUGGAGGUGGCUACAAGUUGACCAUAGUACGAGUGUUUUGUCAUCUGCGCAACAACCAAGGUAGAACUGAAAAAUUGAGGGUUAGAGAAGCUGGUGAGUUGCAAUGACCUGCGCCAAAUGAGACAAAGCUCAGUAGGACUUGCAUUCAAAAGACCCAUUUGUCAGAUGUCAACAAGGGCCAGGUAAUGUGAAAGCUAAUGCAGCGGAUUAUGAGAGUGCUGAAGCUGAUCAACGGAACCUGCUAUAUAAAGCUAAUGAAACAAAAUGUGCAAUCUAAAACUGCAGUAAUUGAACACAAACAACAUGUAAUUAGUUAGGGUUGCUUGAUUUAAGGGGUUACUUGGUUUUGUUUUAAUAGGAGGUCAAUGAAGGGAUUUAAUGCUUAUAUGUCUACUUUUCUUUUAGUAUUGCUGGAUUGAAAGUAUGAUUUCUUAGGGUUGCGUCGUUUGGCUCUUGAUAAAGCUCAUUUCAGUUGUUUAAUGCUUAUAUAUGGAUGACCUUUAAAAUGGUUCGUUCAUUAUUUGAUUAAUUAUUUGUUAGGUCUGCUUGGUUGUUUCUGAGAUUAAGUAUAUAGUUUCAGUUGAUGGAUUUGGUCCCUUACUUGAUUUUUUGUUGCAAGAUGGAAUAUGAAAUGCUAAUACUACAUAUAGAAUGACCUAAAAA